UACUGAGGAGGCAAGAGUUAUCCGGAAUUAUUGGGCGUAAAGCGUCCGUAGGUGGCUAGUCAAGUCUGCGGUCAAAGACUGGGGCUUAACCCUGGAAAGGCCGUGGAAACUGACGAGCUAGAGUGCAGUAGGGGUAGAGGGAAUUCCCGGUGUAGCGGUGAAAUGCGUAGAGCUCGGGAAGAACAUCGGUGGCGAAAGCGCUCUACUGGACUGCAACUGACACUCAGGGACGAAAGCUAGGGGAGCGAAUGGG
rnacentral:rRNA from 1 species